CCGCCCAGCACAGCCUCUUUUCCCCUUCUUCCCUUGCUAGGGUUAGGGUGCUUAGAAGAAUUGACGCUCUCUCCCCUCCCCUCUCAAUCUCCUCUGAAAUGUCCUUAUCUUCCUAAAACUGGUGGGCAUGGCAUUGAAGAAGGUAAAUCCCCUCCAAAACCGGCCCUAAUUUCCUUAUGUUUCACGCUUUUUUAUUUAGUUGGUAAGCUAGGCUAGAAUUUUAUAAAUCUUGAUCGACCGGCAGAUGGUUAUAGCCGAUGAUCCUUGCCAAUCUGCAUACUGUUGUAUUUAUAUCAAUAGAAUAGUCGAUUACUUUAUUGUAUUACUUCUACACAAAUCGGCUUUAUUUAAGUAAGUAGUUAUUUAAGUGUUGCAUCAGUUUAUAAUGAUUACAUGCAAGUUCGUUUCGGCCUAUCAUAGGAAAGGAUUUAUUGUUCAUUUAACUAUUCAAAUUUAUCUCUAUCAGACUCCUAGCCAAACCAAAUUUUCAAUAGCCGAUUGUUCAACCUAUCUAUCGGCUCAAUAGUCGAUCAACUUGUUCUAUUCUACAUCUUGUCAGUCGUAAGAUCAAACUGACUGGCACGUCCACACCUAUUCUAAGAAUUUAUGUCUUGCAUUGGAGCAACGUAGAGACUCUCAGGCCUUUGCGUGUAUUCAGUAUGCCAGAUCGGACAUAUUUGGUGUCAACAGGGUGGUGGUGUGGUGAUGGUAUAUUGCAAUCCUCUUAUGGUGCUUCACUCUAACAUGGUGGUUGAUAUGUGUAUCCGAUCAUAAAUAGGCCCAUAUAUUAGGACAGUUCACGUAAGAUCUACUUCCGAUGCAAGUGCAACAGCCAAAGUUGGUUGUGUUGUGCGGCUGUACAGAUACCUCCAUGUCUCUGCAAUUUUUUAACUUGUAGCCCUUUCAGAAAACUUUAAUCAUAAAUAGGCUUUUAAAAAACUUCAACAAAAAUAGACCUUUUUGCUCGGCGCCAUCGUCUUUGGCGCUGAGAGACCUCUAGGACGAUGGCCAAAGACGAUGGCGCCAACAAACUUGGCCUCUAAGACGGCUAAGUCAUUGACAUUGAGAAGGACAACACCCAUGACAUCAAAUAAAAAAAAUACACGGAGUAUUUCAUAGCCAUAUUAUGCAGAAAAGCCAAAUGACGUAAAUAAAAAAAAAUCGAGAGAACAUGGAGUAAAGAGAGGGGCAGGGGCUGAAGGGUUUGUUUGGAUGGAUGUAAGUACUGUUUUGGAUGGAAUGGUACAUAGCUAAACUUUCUGAAAUUUCAGUGGUGUUAGAGUGUACCAAAAGCUUUCGAUGGUAUAUUUGUAAAAUCGUGAUCUUCCAUUUUUUGCUUUUCAAUAUUAAUAGACUUUAAAUGGUCACAAAUGAUCUUAAUUGUUAUGAGGUAAGAGGAAUAUUGAUCCUUGGAUAAGUAUAAAUUGGAUGGCUCACGACGUUUUAGGUGCACCAAAAAGAAAUCCUGAUUUUGUUCAUCCAUAGCAGUUUGUUAGUCACAACGAUCAAACUAUGGCUUGAAGAUGCAGCCAGCAAUGACUAAUCAAUCGGGGCAGCAUGCCUGGAUAAAAGCCCAUAUUUGUGGGAUUAAGCACAAGCUCAAGAGUGUCGGCUUGAUCCGUAUUGCCCUCAAGGACCAUUUCUGUUCGAAGCACCAGCAUAUCCAAAUCCAUAUGUCAGCUACAGCUAACUUAUGUGAGGCUCACAUAAUAUUUUCCUCAUUGGUUUAGAAGUCGUAAAUAAAAAUAUACAAACGGUCUCAUGGUAUCCAUGACAACCCAGCGAGAACAGAGUGAGCUUAUUGGCAUUCGAAUGAUAUUUUUUUUUCUCUAGUAUAAAUGAGAGAUGACUCUUGUUUGAUCAAACCAAUGUCAUUUUUCAUCCAGUUUAUUGACAAGUUAGUUGCUGACAAAUGAAGCAUUAGAGCAAUAACAGAGAAAUUGGAGCAAACCAUAGUACAUGUCCUUCAAGUACACCGUUUUCCGUAGCACUGACGCCGUUAUUAGUGUCAUUAGUAGGACAGAUUGAAAAUACAUAUGCGAAAAGUGAACUGUCUUUUAGAGUCAACCUGUAGUAUGGCACAUGAUGAGGCAAGACAUACUAGGCUAAGAAGAAAAAGAAAUAAUGUUAAAUGGCUGCAUCCAUGUCCAUGAAAUAUGAUUUUAUAUAUGUUGAGAAACCUUAUUUUGGUAGAGAAAAGUAUAGAGUAAGUACAUCAAAAAAACAUUACAAAAUAUAAUUUUAGAUAUAAUAUAAGAUUUGUAACAAAAUAUGAUAUGGAUAGACAUGUCAACAUGUGCUAGUUGGAAAAGGUCUAUGAACAUCACAAAACAUAACGAAAUAUAAUUUUUAAAGAUAAUUUAUGAUUAGUAACAAAAUAUGAUAUGAUAGCCACAUUGACAUGGAAUUGUCAAAAAAGGACUAGAAUGGGAUCGAUGGUCAUCAUUGACGGAAAACGGCUCUAGAACAAGACCGAUUAUAGUCAGCAGCCUUAGGCACGGGGGUAAAAUCAUAUGUUAUUAACAAAAUGAGUAUGACCUAAGUAUCUCAUCUAGAAUGUUAUUUUUUUGUUCCUCGUUUAGAAUGUUGUUGUUAUGUUCGUCUAUGUAUCGCACGCUGAUUAAUAAUAGACACAUAGAAAGUAGAAAAUGCUAUGGGAAGUGAAGAUGCCCGUUAAAAUUAAUAUUUUAAUGUGGUAUUUGCUAAAGGUGUAGUUCUAACCAAAGAUAAUGUAAUAAGAAGGAAUUGGAAAGGUAACACCCAAUACUCUUUUUAUGCAUGAUGAUGAAACUAUCUAACAUCUCUUCUUUGAAUGCCAUGUUGCUAAAUUUCUUUCGAGAAUUGUUUUUAUCUCCUUUCCAUUACAAAAAACCAACAAGUUUUACUCCGAUGUUUGGAAGUUGGAUUGAGCACAUUGACUCAAAACAAAAGAAAAUACAUCUUAAUAGGAAGCAGGAAUAAUAUAGUUUUUGAUAAAACUCUGACUAAAUCUUUUUGUUCAAUGCAAUGUACUACCAUUUGUUUUGGGCCCAACUACAAAGUUGUGACAAGGAUAUCAUUCAUAUUACAAGCUAUAACUUAGAGACAACAGUCAUAUAUAAAUAUUCACUCACUUUGGAUGUAGAUUCACUAAUAGGAUUACUCUCUCUUAAUAAGUGAUCUCUUGUGUACUGUUGGUGGUAUUGUAUUAUCUUCUUUCCCUCCUUUGUUUAGCUAGUUAUAUCUGGUUUUGGAACAACAACUUUGUUAGGUAAUUGUAUCUUUUAUGGAAGCAAAGGCCGUGUUAUUCUUAUUAUCUAUAGGAAAAUGACCAAACUAUUUUCUGAAUCCAUAUGAAGUAUAUAUGAGUGAAGUAUAAUAACUAUCGAGAUUAUAAAAGCAUCAACUGCUUCAUCUUCAUUCUAAUUGAAAAAAUGUACAAUGUUUAAUCAAUAUUCCUGCUAUCACAAAGCACUAAUGGUGAGACCAAGUUGAGCUAAAGAGUUCUAGAUUGCUCCUUGUCGAUAUAGAUGGUCAUAUGGCUCGAGGCCUGACAGCCUGGCCCAUAGCACAGCCAUUUGGCCUAGCCGAGCACAACUCGGCACGACAGGGACUGGGCCCGUGCUGGUUGACUCGACUGUUGGGCCGUGCCUAGGCUGAUGCCUUGGCACGUGGGCUAGCCUGGCACGGCCCGGUGGAUGCAAAAAAAAAUUAAAGGACCUAAAAUAGACUUAAUUUAGUUAUAUAAAACGUAGCCCAAAAUGAUAGGUAUAUAAAAUAGACUUAUUUUAGCCCUAAAAGAGAUAGCCCAAAGAAGAGGGAGAAAAAAUAGACAUAUUCGCACAACUAAAAGAGGUAAGGGAGAAAAUGUAGACUUAUUUAUGUUUCGGUCCAUCGUGCUUUCGGGCCAGCCCAGAACGGCCCAAGGCUUAUUGGGUCAUGCAUAGGCGAUCGAUGCAACCAGUGGGCCGGCACGGCAUGGCCUGGUGUGGCUAUUGGGCCGUGCCGGCCCGAUAGGAGUAGGCAUGAGCCCGGCCGUGUUUGGGCCGUGCCAGGUUGGGUGGGCCUGAUCGCCAUCUAUACCUGUUGAAUGCAUUGAACACGAGAUGUUUGCUAACUGUCAAAGCCUCAAAGGUCACCAAAGUUCUUUCAGUUCUUUCUCGGACCUUUGGUUGAGAAGUUUUUAACCAUUGCAUCACUGUAUAUAUGAGAACCGAUGGAAUGAUGAUCUAUCACUACAAAUGGGAGACAUUUUUUUUCCCAAUCAAUUCUUACACUGAUAAUUUUCCAUUUAACCUGUCAUUUUCCCAUGUUGUUUACUUUAAGACAUUAGCGUAAACCAUUGGUUACUGUGAAAAUUACAUAAAUAAAUUACAAUUUCACCACGUUUUACUUCCAAAGUUUCACAUUAGACAAAACCAAUCUUUUCACUUUAAGUCGGAUUGUUUUUUUGUUGUUUAGUUUGGACCACCUCCAAACUAUUUCACAUGGAUGGCAGCGAAGAUGGCGCUGGAUAACCAGCCUUGACAAUCAUCUUCUAUUUCUCGACACAAAUUAAUUGUUUUGUGCUAGCAUGGGCAUAGACUGUGCAUUGCAGUGUGGCUUGGCAUCCUACUUCCACCCAACUGCAUGUGCAUCAUCCUUAGCCGUUUUUCUUUUUUUGAAACUUAUGCCUUUUAUUAAUAUAUUUAACGAUAUUUACAUGCAAAGUACAUGCGAUAUUUUUAACCCCGAAAGGGUAAGGGUGUCGAUUUUGUCGAGCGACAAGAUGGAGCAUAGUAUAUAUGCAUAAGAUUUUGACAUUCCCUUUUUGUAGGUGCUUAAGCUGGCUUUCUUCUUCAUUCUCUGGACAUUCGAUCUGUUACACCAUUCAGUCUUCUUGGCAUCCAUUUGAUGUUGAUUGGGUGGUCUUAUAUAAGUUGAUGAAAUUUGGAUACCGGUUCUUGAGGUCCAAUGUCCUGGGUUAGAUUCAAAAUUAUGUUUGUUAGUUGUAUCCACUAAAGUGGAAUUGUUAGAAACAAUGAUUGCAUUGCUGAUUUGGAACACUAUUGUGAUGUUAUACGUCACCCGAAUCCUGCAAGCUCUGCCUGUAAAGGAGAACUCCAAUCUGCGCUGCAAGCUUGUAUGAGCAUAAUUUUGUGGGUGACUGGAUCGUGAAUAAAAAUCACAAUAUCAUUCAAGUUGUCCUUCCCGGAUGCAUCAACAUAGCACGGUGAAUUUUCAUGUAUUUCAUUCUAUGUAUCUUGUUAUUCUUCCUCAUGUAUGUAGUAAGCUUUUCGCAUUGCAUUUGCUCCAUUGAGCACUCGUCCAUGUU
rnacentral:lncRNA from 1 species